GACGAACGCUGGCGGCGUGCCUAACACAUGCAAGUCGAGCGGAGUCGAUCGACGGAAGCCUUCGGGCGGAAGAUGGUUGACUUAGCGGCGGAUGGGUGAGUAACGCGUGGGCAACCUGCCUCGAAGACCGGGAUAACAGCCCGAAAGGGCUGCUAAUACCGGAUGUGGUCAAGGAUCCGCAUGGAUUUUUGAUUAAAGGGGAAACCCGUUUCGAGAUGGGCCCGCGUCCUAUCAGCUAGUUGGUGAGGUAAAAGCUCACCAAGGCGACGACGGGUAGCCGGCCUGAGAGGGUGACCGGCCACACUGGAACUGAGACACGGUCCAGACUCCUACGGGGGGCAGCAGUGGGGAAUCUUCCACAAUGGGCGAAAAGCCUGAUGGAGCGACGCCGCGUGAGCGAAGAAGGCCUUCGGGUUGUAAAGCUCUGUCUGGAGGGACGAAGGAAGUGACGGUACCUCCGGAGGAAGCCACGGCUAACUACGUG
rnacentral:rRNA from 1 species